rnacentral:tRNA from 1 species
CGGGACGUAGCUCAGCCCGGUUAGAGUACACGUCUGGGGGGCGUGUGGUCGCUAGUUCGAAUCUAGUCGUCCCGACCU